rnacentral:misc_RNA from 1 species
GAUGAAGAACGUAGCGAAAUGCGAUACGUAAUGUGAAUUGCAGAAUUCAGUGAAUCAUCGAAUCUUUGAACGCAUAUUGCGCUCUCUGGUAUUCCGGAGAGCAUGCUUGUUUGAGUAUCAGGAAACACCUCAACUUCCAUAUCUUUUUUGAAAUGGGAGUUGGACUUGAGUGAUCCCAACGCUUUUCCUCACCGAAAAGUGGCGGGUUACUUGAAAUGCAGGUGCAGCUGGACUUUUCUCUGAGCUAUAAGCAUAUCUAUUUAGUCUGCCUAAAAAACAGAUUAUUACCUUUGCUGCAGCUAACAUAAAGGAGAUUAGUUCUUGUGCUGACUGAUGCAGGAUUCACAAAGACAGGCUUCGGCCGACUUUGUAAACUCGAUCUCAAAUCAAGUAAGACUACCCGCUGAACUUAAGCAUAUCAAUAAGCGGAGA